CUGCCGCGUGCAGGAUGACGGUCCUAUGGAUUGUAAACUGCUUUUAUACGAGAAGAAACACUCCAACGUGUUGGAGCUUGACGGUAUCGUAAGAAUAAGGAUCGGCUAACUCCGUGCCAGCAGCCGCGGUAAUACGGAGGAUCCAAGCGUUAUCCGGAAUCAUUGGGUUUAAAGGGUCCGUAGGCGGUUUAGUAAGUCAGUGGUGAAAGCCCAUCGCUCAACGGUGGAACGGCCAUUGAUACUGCUAAACUUGNAUUAUUAGGAAGUAACUAGAAUAUGUAGUGUAGCGGUGAAAUGCUUAGAGAUUACAUGGAAUACCAAUUGCGAAGGCAGGUUACUACUAAUGGAUUGACGCUGAUGGACGAAAGCGUGGGUAGCGAACAGGAUUAGAUACCCUGGUAGUCCAAGGGCG
rnacentral:rRNA from 1 species